rnacentral:tRNA from 4 species
GCGCCCGUAGCUCAGCUGGAUAGAGUACUGCCCUCCGAAGGCAGGGGUCGGACGUUCGAAUCGUCUCGGGCGUGCCA